rnacentral:rRNA from 1 species
GAUGAACGCUGGCGGCGUGCCUAAUACAUGCAAGUCGAGCGAACAGAUGAGGAGCUUGCUCCUCUGACGUUAGCGGCGGACGGGUGAGUAACACGUGGAUAACCUACCUAUAAGACUGGGAUAACUUCGGGAAACCGGAGCUAAUACCGGAUAAUAUAUUGAACCGCAUGGUUCAAUAGUGAAAGACGGUUUUGCUGUCACUUAUAGAUGGAUCCGCGCCGCAUUAGCUAGUUGGUAAGGUAACGGCUUACCAAGGCAACGAUGCGUAGCCGACCUGAGAGGGUGAUCGGCCACACUGGAACUGAGCCACGGUCCAGACUCCUACGGGAGGCAGCAGUAGGGAAUCUUCCGAAAUGGGCGAAAGCCUGACGGAGCAACGCCGCGUGAGUGAUGAAGGUCUUCGGAUCGUAAAACUCUGUUAUUAGGGAAGAACAAAUGUGUAAGUAACUAUGCACGUCUUGACGGUACCUAAUCAGAAAGCCACGGCUAACUACGUG